rnacentral:ncRNA from 1 species
UUGAAAUACCACCCUGGUAAUAUUGAGGUUCUAACUCUGCUCCAUUAUCUGGAGCGAGGACCAUGUCUGGUGGGUAGUUUGACUGGGGCGGUCUCCUCCUAAAGAGUAACGGAGGAGUACGAAGGUGCGCUCAGCGUGGUCGGAAAUCACGCGUAGAGUAUAAAGGCAAAAGCGCGCUUAACUGCGAGACCCACAAGUCGAGCAGGUACGAAAGUAGGUCUUAGUGAUCCGGUGGUUCUGUAUGGAAGGGCCAUCGCUCAACGGAUAAAAGGUACUC